GACGUAGGGCGCGAGCGUUGUCCGGAUUUAUUGGGCGUAAAGAGCUCGUAGGCGGUUUGUUGCGUCGGCUGUGAAAUCCCGAGGCUCAACCUCGGGUCUGCAGUCGAUACGAGCAAACUAGAGUGUUGCAGGGGAGACUGGAAUUCCUGUGUAGCGGUGAAAUGCGCAGAUAUCAGGAGGAACACCGGUGGCGAAGGCGGGUCUCUGGGCCGAUACUGACACUGAGAAGCGAAAGCGUGGGGAGCGAACAGG
rnacentral:rRNA from 1 species